UCGACUGGCUCAGCAAAUUACAAGAACAGGUCGUGCGGUAUAAGAGCGAUAUACUUGCCUUUAAACGAUCAAAGUUUCUCCGGGUUCAGCAGGAUUAUAAAGAUAAUAAUGUUUAUCGUUGGCGCCAUGGAGGGAGACCCAUGAUGCAGCGUCGCAGGCUGAUGACGCGGCGUGUGAGGGAACCACUCGGGUAUGUGUCAAGCAGCGCUGAAUCAGAGGAGGAAGCGGUUAUGGAGGCACAAACAGCGCCGUUUUUUUUAGAAGGAGAGCAGCCUGGGAGCACAGGCAGAGAGCCAGGAACAGACGUGGAGGCCGGAAGCACAGUAAGAGGAAGGGACCGUGGCAGACCACCCCGUCGGGGGGGCAAGCCAUCACGGAGCAGGCAGUGAUAAAUUUAUCAAAGCAUCAGUUAACAACAAAUGAGUCACAACUUGGAAAGCUGCUGGAUGAGGCCUGCCUGCAUGGCUGGAUUACAGAGGAGCUGAGGGAUGCGCUUUAUGUAGAACACCCGCAUUGGCCCAUUGUGAAAACUGAUGCUGAAUUGACAGCGAUUAAUCGAAAACGGGUCCGGUUCGGAUAUAAAAGGAACAAGAAUUUAAAGGAGCUAUUAUCCUCUGCGGAUCCGGUGUGCAAAGGGGUGGCGACAUUGAUCGUAUUUUACUCCAAAGAGAAGCAUUUUGGACAUAUGAACUGGAUUGCGUGGCUCCUAGGGGCUUAAAUAGCUCCUUAUCGCUGAACUGUUUUCUGUGAGUUCUUCUGUCCAAUUUCACAUUGGGAUUGUGCUGGUAUAGUUAUUACAAUUUAUUAUAUGAUAUAGGUAAAUGGGAUCCUCAAGUUGGUAUAUCUUGCUGUGGAACUGAUAUGUGCAUAUGCAUGUGAAUGUUAUAAUAGGCAGAUCUUGAAUUAGAUUGGGGGCCCCCACUAAUUAGGAUAGUGUUUGGUUUGAAUUGAUUGGCGCAGCAUACAUACAAUGUUAUGAUGUUUUUUAAUCUUAUAUUGAUAUAUGUUUAAUUGUAUUUAUUCACUUUUUUGUGUACACACUAUAAAAUCAUGACACUGUAAUGUGUAUAUUUUUAACAUGAUGUAUUGUACGGUUUCACGGAUUUUUAAUGAUUGCUUUGCCGAAUCACUUCACUGUACUUUAAUGAUUGUUUUAAAGGGGUAUUAAUUUAAAUAGCACCAGAUUUGCACUUGGAAUAUUUUAAUGAUAAUUUAUGGCACUGAUCACUUUAUAGCAUUCGCUGCACAUUUUACUGCAGUGGUCACUUUAUGGCAUGUAAUGUUUUAAUGACAAUUUAUGGCACGGAUCACUUUGCAGCACUAGCUACAUGCUUUACU